rnacentral:rRNA from 1 species
UUGAAAGGGAAACGAUUGAAGUCAGUCGUACCGACGAGAAAUCAGCUCUUUGAGUGCGAACUCGUGGGCGUGCGUGAGUUUCGGCCUCGCUGUUUGCAUGUUUGUGCGCUUUGGGUGUACUUUUUCGUAUGGUAGGCCAACGUCAGUUUCGAUUAUCAUAAAAUGACCGGCGGAAUGUAGCUUCGAUCUCGUAUUGAAGUGUUAUAGCCUUUGGUAGAUGUGGUGUUUGGGACUGAGGAUUGCAACGAAUAUCCUUUGGGCUAUCCGUCUGAUCUCUGAAAGUUGCUUAGGUGCCGAAAGCAUGCUUACGGUUAUUUAAGUUGACGGUCAAAAGGUUAGAACGGAUUACAUUCGUUAAGGAUGUUGACGUA